CAGUCGCCACGGUAAUACGUAGGGUGCGAGCGUUAAUCGGAAUUACUGGGCGUAAAGCGUGCGCAGGCGGUUAUAUAAGACAGAUGUGAAAUCCCCGGGCUCAACCUGGGACCUGCAUUUGUGACUGUAUAGCUAGAGUACGGUAGAGGGGGAUGGAAUUCCGCGUGUAGCAGUGAAAUGCGUAGAUAUGCGGAGGAACACCGAUGGCGAAGGCAAUCCCCUGGACCUGUACUGACGCUCAUGCACGAAAGCGUGGGGAGCAAACAGGAUUAGAGACCCCCGUAGUCCCUGUCUCUUAUAU
rnacentral:rRNA from 1 species